ensembl:snRNA U6 U6 spliceosomal RNA
GUGCUCGCCUUGGCAGUACAGAUAGUACAAUUCGAACGAUACAGAGAAGACUGGCUUGGUUCCUGUGCAGGGAGGACACAGAAAUUCAUUAAGCAUUCAACAUUAAA